rnacentral:rRNA from 1 species
UAGGGAAUCUUCCGCAAUGGACGCAAGUCUGACGGAGCAACGCCGCGCGAGUGAAGAAGGAUUUCGGUUCGUAAAACUCUGUUGUUAGAGAAGAACAGCGCAUAGAGUAACUGUUAUGCGUGUGACGUUAUCUAACCAGAAAGCCACGGCUAACUACGUGCCAGCAGCCGCGGUAAUACGUAGGUGGCAAGCGUUGUCCGGAUUUAUUGGGCGUAAAGCGAGCGCAGGGGGUCAAUUAAGUCUGAUGUGAAAGCCCCCGGCUCAACCGGGGAGGGUCAUUGGAAACGGGUGGACUUGAGUGCAGAAGAGGAGAGUGGAAUUCCAUGUGUAGCGGUGAAAUGCGUAGAUAUAUGGAGGAACACCAGUGGCGAGGGCGACUCUCUGGUCUGUAACUGACGCUGAGGCUCGAGAGCGUGGGGAGCAAACAGG